rnacentral:rRNA from 1 species
UAGCCGGCCUGAGAGGGUGUCCGGCCACACUGGGACUGAGAUACGGCCCAGACACCUACGGGAGGCAGCAGUGGGGAAUAUUGCACAAUGGGCGCAAGCCUGAUGCAGCGACGCCGCGUGGGGGAUGACGGCCUUCGGGUUGUAAACCUCUUUCAGCAGGGACGAAGCGCAAGUGACGGUACCUGCAGAAGAAGCACCGGCCAACUACGUGCCAGCAGCCGCGGUAAUACGUAGGGUGCGAGCGUUGUCCGGAAUUACUGGGCGUAAAGAGCUCGUAGGUGGUUUGUCGCGUUGUUCGUGAAAACCGGGGGCUUAACCCUCGGCGUGCGGGCGAUACGGGCAGACUAGAGUACUGCAGGGGAGACUGGAAUUCCU